UGAAUUGACGGGGCCCGGCACAAGCGGUGGAGUAUGUGGUUUAAUUCGAUGCAACGCGAAGAACCUUACCUGGUCUUGACAUCCCGGAGACCCUUAGGAAACUAGGGGGUGCUUCCAUCUGGAAGAAUCUGGAGACAGGUGCUGCAUGGCUGUCGUCAGCUCGUGUCGUGAGAUGUUGGGUUAAGUCCCGCAACGAGCGCAACCCUUGCCUUUAGUUGCCAGCAGUUCGGCUGGGCACUCUAAAGGGACUGCCGGUGUUAAACCGGAGGAAGGUGGGGAUGACGUCAAGUCCUCAUGGCCUUUAUGACCAGGGCUACACACGUACUACAAUGGCCGAUACAAAGGGCAGCGACACUGCGAGGUGAAGCCAAUCCCGUAAAAUCGGUCUCAGUCCGGAUUGGAGUCUGCAACUCGACUCCAUGAAGUUGGAAUCGCUAGUAAUCGUGGAUCAGCAUGCCACGGUGAAUACGUUCCCGGGCCUU
rnacentral:rRNA from 1 species